rnacentral:rRNA from 1 species
UGCAGUCUGCAACUCGACUGCAUGAAGCUGGAAUCGCUAGUAAUCGCGAAUCAGAAUGUCGCGGUGAAUACGUUCCCGGGUCUUGUACACACCGCCCGUCACACCAUGGGAGUUGGUAACGCCCGAAGUCAGUGACCCAACCGCAAGGGAGGGAGCUGCCGAAGGCGGGACCGGUAACUGGGGUGAAGUCGUAACAAGGUAGC